rnacentral:rRNA from 1 species
GACGAACGCUGGCGGCGUGCUUAACACAUGCAAGUCGAGCGGAGCGGCGAACGGGUGAGUAACGCGUUAGUAACUGCCCCCCUCUCUGGGAUAACAGUUGGAAACUGCUGCUAAUACCGGAUAGUGGGGGAUGACUCGCGUCCGAUCCGCUUGUUGGGGGGGUAGUGGCCUACCAAGGCGACGCAGGGUAGCCGGCCUGAGAGGGGGAACGGCCACAUUGGGCUGAGGUACGGCCCAAAAUCCAACGGGAGGCAGCAGUGGGGAAUAGUGCGCAAUGGGGGAAAGCCUGAUGCAGAAACGCCGCGUGCGGGAUGACGGCCUUCGGAUUGUAAGCCGCUUUCAGCCAUGACGCGGUAGUGGCAGAAGAAGCACCGGCUAACUACGUGCCAGCAGCCGCGGUAAUAC